rnacentral:rRNA from 1 species
UACGAAGGGUGCAAGCGUUACUCGGAAUUACUGGGCGUAAAGCGUGCGUAGGUGGUUUGUUAAGUCUGUUGUGAAAGCCCCGGGCUCAACCUGGGAAUGGCAAUGGAUACUGGCAAGCUAGAGUGCGGUAGAGGGUAGUGGAAUUCCCGGUGUAGCGGUGAAAUGCGUAGAUAUCUGGAGGAAUACCGGUGGCGAAGGCGGCAUCCUGGACCGACAUUGACGCUGAACAGCGAAAGCUAGGGGAGCAAACGGG